UCAAGGAUGACGGAGACAUGGCCCUGC
rnacentral:piRNA from 1 species